GGCCAGGGCUGCAUUGGGCCGGCUUUCUCACAUCAGUUUGGCCAAACCCAAAUCCCAUGGAGCCUAACUUGAAAUGAAAAUGCUCAGAAUAACUCUAAGAAACUUGCAGAUACAAAGAUGGAGAAAGUACAGGCUUCUUCUUUUGGUAGGGUGUGCUGCAGAACAAAGGUGCCUGUUAUUUUCAUGUGCAUAAAACAAGUUGGGAAUAUAUUAUUAAACCAUUACAUGGAAGAAGCACAACCUUCAAAGUUCAAUAAGGAAAGAACUUAAUCUUCCCACCACCUUCCUCACUGAUAGUACCUAUUCAAAUCUACUUUGUGGAUCCAAUGUGUUACCAUCCUUAGAGGAAUCCUGAGCAUGAUUUAUCUGGUCACUCUCAAAUCAUCAUCAUCAUCAUCAUCAUCAUCAUCAUCAUCAUCAUCAAUAUCAUCCUGUGGUAAUUUUGGUUCACCAACUAUAAUGUUCAUUCCACAAUAAUGAUCAACUUCGCAUUUUAUUCAAAGUAAAAGUCUCUGUUCUCCCUCAACUCAA